rnacentral:tRNA from 11 species
CGGGAAGUAGCUCAGCUUGGUAGAGCACUUGGUUUGGGACCAAGGGGUCGCAGGUUCGAAUCCUGUCUUUCCGA